UCGACCUCAAAUCGGGUGAGACUACCCGCUGAAGUUA
rnacentral:rRNA from 1 species